rnacentral:tRNA from 1 species
GCGGGGUUAGUGUAAUGGAUAGCACUCCGGCCGUAAGCGACCGGCAGUGGCGGUUCGAGUCCGCUUCUCCGCU